GGAUGUGGCUCAAGUGUUAGGGCGCUCGCCUAGCAUGCAUGAGACACUGGGUUCAAUUCUCAGCACCA
rnacentral:tRNA from 1 species